CACCGAAGCCAGAAAUCAGAAAUCACCUGUGCUCCCUUAUUUAUUAACCCACUAAGAAGGAGAGCAAAACAUUGACUUGGUGGCUGAUAUAUAUUUGCAAGGCCAUUUUUAAGAAAGAUAUUUAAAGAGAAACUCAAUCUUGUGAGACGAGGUCGGCCAAGCCCAGAAGCUAGUUAAGCUGACCUGGCGGUGAAAUGCCACUCAAAUCAACCAACUACGAGCGGAACUACUGGCUUAUAGGCCUUCAAAUAGGUGUAACAAAUUCGACAUAUGCAGCUCUCACCAGAGGGCAGCGCUGAUCGUUGGUGGCGAGCCACACUGAUGACUCGACAGCACUCACCACUGCGUGGAACUCUGCUGCAAAUACGCUGUGAACACAGACACAUCAGGAUAUGCAGCUGUCCGUGGAGCAAGUUGUGACAGCAAUGCUCUGGUGUACGGGGCAACUGGGCCGUCAGCUUGAUGAGGAUGUUCAUGUACUCUGAGAGGGGAGUCAUGGCGACCAGCGCCUUUGAGGCCAUCACUCUUACACUGUAAAUGGGACUGGCAGACAGCUGGAGUAGAGGAGGUAGGAAGUCUGCCAGUGUUCUGGUGGGAUUAAAAAAAAAAAAAUCAGGCACACACAAUCAUACUUUUAAGACAGUGAUUCUCAAACUGUGGUACGCAAAAAAGAAUCAGUUAACUAUUUAAACAAUGUGUUACUGUUCAAACUGUGUGUAAUGUUACAGUGACUAAAAUAUUAAAUAUACUUGUUCA